CCGGGAGAGUUCUCUCAACGCCGACUUCCCCGCUUGACUGCUCACCUCCUCACCCGCUCCCGUCUUUACCUUGCCUUCCUUCCUCCCUCUUUCUACCUGUAGCUAGAAUGGGUUUACGCCUCCAGGUACCGAAAGAGAAGACCUGCUCAUGGUUAUGCAGCGUUCAAAGCCAAGAGCGCUGGUGCCUCCAAGUGUGAGCAGUUGGUACUGAAAAGAGCCCCGUUGAGUCUCCUCCUUGUUCUUAGAUUUCAGUUUCUCACCCGGGGCCUCUGGUUGGCUGUCAGGGGCGGCCGGGUGGAGAACUUGACUUAUGGUUACUGAGUCUCUUCUGGGACAAGAAAAGAACCCAAUCGUGAGUGUCAGUGAUUUUCUUUUUCUUUUUUUUUUUUAAGUACUGCUCUAGGGAGAAAAACAGUCUCAAGACUUUAAUUUCUUGGGAGGAAGUACUGGGCCGAGGAGCGGCAUCCCAGGGAAUGGCCAUGUUGGCUCAGCAUCUGGUGGUUGGUCCCUGUGUUCCUGGAAGGAAACGGGCAAGUGGGGUCCUUUCUUCAAAGCCCUUUAGGUCCCCUGAUUGGAGACCAAAGUGAGACCCAAAAAGCAAAGAGAGGUCACGGCUGCCCCAAGAUUCAUGCUCGCUAUGUGAAUUACGUUGCUGACUUCAAGCCAGAGAAGCAUCUUUCUUCUUUUAGGUGGAAAUACAUAUUUAUUUUUUCGAAGGUUCCUGCCAUCUCUCCAGGAGUCGGGAUGGGGCACCCUCUCAUCUGCUGCUGUUCUUUCUCCUUGGCGAGCAUGUUGUUUCUAGCGGGAGCUCUUGGAAUUGGGAACCUAGAGAUUAAGAAUCAGGUGGGGUUUGGUGGGGAAUCGGUGUAGCACGGUGGACAGGGUCCUGUCCUUGUCAUCUGCAGGCUGUGUGACCCUAGGCAGGUCACUUAGUCUUCGUGCCUCGGUUGCCUCAUCUGUAAAAUGGGGCUGAUCAUACCCUCCUGGGCUUGUUGUGAAGAUGAGCACUGAUGUGUGUGUUAUGUGCAUGGCCCAGGUUGGGUUCUAAGACACAGGCAAGGCAAACAUCACAAGUGGCAAGAAUUACCCUUGGAAAUCCCUUUGUGGUGUUAGGCCAGGCUAGGCUAUGCUGCAGUAACAAACUAGCCAUAAACUCUUGGGACAUGAAUACAAGGGUG
rnacentral:lncRNA from 1 species